CCUACGGGGCGCAGCAGUGGGGAAUAUUGCACAAUGGGGGGAACCCUGAUGCAGCGACGCCGCGUGAGUGAAGAAGUAUUUCGGUACGUAAAGCUCUAUCAGCAGGGAAGAAAAAAGGACGGUACCUGAGUAAGAAGCCCCGGCUAACUACGUGCCAGCAGCCGCGGUAAUACGGAGGAUGCGAGCGUUAUCCGGAUUUAUUGGGUUUAAAGGGUGCGUAGGCGGUCCGUUAAGUCAGCGGUAAAAUUGC
rnacentral:rRNA from 1 species